rnacentral:rRNA from 1 species
UACAGAGGUCCCAAGCGUUGUUCGGAUUCACUGGGCGUAAAGGGUGCGUAGGCGGUCGGGUAAGUCUGAUGUGAAAUCUCACAGCUUAACUGUGAAACUGCAUUGGAUACUAUCCGGCUCGAGGAAUGGAGGGGAGACUGGAAUACUUGGUGUAGCAGUGAAAUGCGUAGAUAUCAAGUGGAACACCGGUGGCGAAGGCGGCAUCCUGGACCGACACUGACGCUGAGGAGCGAAAGCCAGGGGAGCAAACGGG